AANNAUAAGNCCUGCAUGUCUAAGUAUAAGCAAAUUUUACAGUGAAACUGCGAAUGGCUCAUUAAAUCAGUUAUCGUUUAUUUGAUGUUCCCUUACUACAUGGAUACCUGUGGUAAUUCUAGAGCUAAUACAUGCUUCAAAGCCCGGCCUCUGGUCGGGCUGCACUUAUUAGAUAAAAAACCAAUGCCUUCACGGGCUCUUUGGUGAUUCAUAGUAAUUUAGCGGACCGCAUGGCCUUGAGCCGGCGGUGGAUCAUUCAAAUUUCUGCCCUAUCAACUUUCGAUGGUAGGAUAGUGGCCUACCAUGGUUUCAACGGGUAACGGGGAAUUAGGGUUCUAUUCCGGAGAGAGAGCCUGAGAAACGGCUACCACAUCCAAGGAAGGCAGCAGGCGCGCAAAUUACCCAAUCCCGAUACGGGGAGGUAGUGACAAUAAAUACUGAUACAGGGCUCUUAUGAGUCUUGUAAUUGGAAUGAGUACAAUUUAAAUCCCUUAACGAGGAACAAUUGGAGGGCAAGUCUGGUGCCAGCAGCCGCGGUAAUUCCAGCUCCAAUAGCGUAUAUUAAAGUUGUUGCAGUUAAAAAGCUCGUAGUUGAACCUUGGGCCUGGCUGGCCGGUCCGCCUCAUCGCGUGUACCGGUUCGGCCGGGCCUUUCCUUCUGGCAAACCUCAUGCCCUUAAUUGGGUGUGUGGGGAACCAGGACUUUUACUUUGAAAAAAUUAGAGUGUUCAAAGCAGGCAUUUGCUCGAAUACAUUAGCAUGGAAUAAUAGAAUAGGACGUGUGGUUCUAUUUUGUUGGUUUCUAGAACCGCCCUAAUGAU
rnacentral:rRNA from 1 species